rnacentral:lncRNA from 1 species
AAUGCAUAUGGGUUAGUGGUCCUGUCAAGGCAUGGCUGUUUAGAGCAUGACUCUUAGCACCACUGUGCCCUCCCUCCAUUCCCCCCUCCCACCAUCUAUGGGAUGUGAGCCUAUGCUGGUGUUAGCCUUAAAAUCAUAACCACAAUCCUAUCUUACCUGGUGAGAGAAAGAGACAGGGUCCUGAACCCCAGCUAAACUGAACUCUCUUUAAUAAUUUCAACAUUCUGUGGUCAUUCUUGCCCCAGGUCUUCACACAUGUUCUUCCCUUUCACUUGGGACCUUGCCCCUACCCUCAGUGCUCUUAGUGCUGCUGUUAUCAAACACCUUAUUUUUUAGGUCUCAACUUGGAGCAGUCCAUGUUCAAGGAAGCCCAAGUCCAAGUUAGGUGUCCCUCCUGGUGCUGUCACAGCCCAAGAUGCCACACUAUCCCGGAAUUGCCUGCUAAAGUGACCUCCUGGCUGCCUUUGACCCAGGUACAGAAGCACUGAAAGGCACUGAUGUUGAUGCCCCGAGGCCGCCAGAAAGUGGGAGGUGUGAGAAUAUGGACAACGGACUGAUAUUUUCUCCGGGUAAGAAAUGCCCUUCUCUGGGAGCCCCCGAAAGGUGAGAGGGCAGGACAAAUGCCACAGUCACCUGCUGGGCGUGCUCCCUGGGAAUCCUAGCUUAGCCUGGGCCAAACAGAUACCUUAUAGAGGUGCUUAAUUUAUCACCAAAAAAUUGGUGCCUUCCAUUCUAUGCAAUGGUUUGAACCAGUUGUUCUCAAGCUUCAGGAUCAUCUGGAUGGUUGUUAAAAUAGUUGGUGAAGACAGCUGGCCCCACCCGCAGAGUUUCUGAGUCAGUAGGUCUGCGGGGGGCACCAAGGGUUUGCAUUUCUACCAGCUGCCUGGUGCUGCUGCUGCUGGUGCAGAGAGGACGUCGUGAGAACCACCGGUGCAACUGUUCACAUUUGCCCAUUCCCUUUGUUUUAAUUUAUUUUUUAUUUUUUUAAAUUUAAAUUUAAUUAAUUUACAUAUAAUGUAUUAUUAUUUUCAGUGGUAGAGGUCAGUGAUUCAUCAGUCUUCUAUAAUACCCAGUGCUCAUACAUCACGAGCUCUCCUUAAUCAUUCCAGGAAGACAAGGGAUACACAGAGAACCAGAAGAGCUCAUUGGGCAGUAGGGGGGACAAGCUGAGGUACGGGAAGUGGUUGAAAGAGCAGCGUGUGUCUAAUAUUGGUUUAACAUAUAUAAAAGGAUUCAAACUCUGAGCUCUGAAAACA